rnacentral:rRNA from 1 species
GAUGAACGCUGGCGGCGUGCCUAAUACAUGCAAGUCGAGCGAACGGACGAGAAGCUUGCUCCUCUGAUGUUAGCGGCGGACGGGCGAGUAACACGUGGAUAACCUACCUAUAAGACUGGGAUAACUUCGGGAAACCGGAGCUAAUACCGGCUAAUAUUUUGAACCGCAUGGUUCAAAAGUGAAAGACGGUCUUGCUGUCACUUAUAGAUGGAUCCGCGCUGCAUUAGCUAGUUGGUAAGGUAACGGCUUACCAAGGCAACGAUGCAUAGCCGACCUGAGAGGGUGAUCGGCCACACUGGAACUGAGACACGGUCCAGACUCCUACGGGAGGCAGCAGUAGGGAAUCUUCCGCAAUGGGCGAAAGCCUGACGGAGCAACGCCGCGUGAGUGAUGAAGGUCUUCGGAUCGUAAAGCUCUGUUAUUAGGGAAGAACAUAUGUGUAAGUAACUGUGCACAUCUUGACGGUACCUAAUCAGAAAGCCACGGCUAACUACGUG